AAUAGCUGAUUGCACCAACAAAUAGUUGAUGCAAUAUUGACUCUGUCAAAUAAAAUUCUAGGUAGAAUUAUGAUAAUGACAUUGUCUGCCUAUAUGUCUUGACCAAAUUACGUGCCAGCAGUCGCGGUAAUACGUAGAAGACUAGUGUUAUUCAUCUUUAAUAGGUUUAAAGGGUACCUAGACGGUAAAUCAAGCCUUCACAGGGACUAAUUUACUAGAGUUACUUACGAGGGGGUAUUAAAGUACUGCAGGUGUAGAGAUGAAAUUCUGUCAUACCUCUUUUCAAAAGAAAAAUUAUGGCACAGGUAUAGGUGAAAGCAUCCCCUUAUGUGAUAACUGACGUUGAAGGACGAAGGCUUUGUGUCGCGAACAGGAUUAGAUACCCCAGUAGUCAAAGCAGAAAAUGAUGAAUGUCAUAGAUUAGAUAAAUAGUUUAUUCUAUAAAUGAAAAUGUAAGCAUUCCACCUCAAGAGUAAUUUGGCAACAUUGGAACUGAAAUCAUUAGACCGUUUCUGAAACCAGUAGUGAAGUAUGUUGUUUAAUUUGAUGAUCCGCAAAAAACCUUACCACAAUUUGAAUAUUUAUAUCUAUCUUUUUUUUUCGUAAAAAAAUAAAAAGGUAAUAUAUUUACAAGCGUUGCACGGCUGUCUUCAGUUAAUGUCGCGAGACUUUGGUUAGUUCCAUUAAAUUAACGUAAACCCUUACUUUAUUUUUAUAUGAAGUAGUUCCCCGCUAUAUUGGAUAUGAUAACAGGGACUAAGACA
rnacentral:rRNA from 1 species